UAUCGUAAGAAGCUUUCCAUUUCUUUGACGAGAUAGCCAUGGGUGUUGAUAAUAAAUGAUUUAUAAAAACAGCCGAAGGCGUCACAGUUUCACCACAAAACGUUAUUACUUAUAGAAAGUACACUUUACGGUCGAUUUGUACGAUCAUAAAUCACAUCCAAAACACUUCGGAGGUCCGAGACAGACUGGACGCGGACGUGACCGUGUGGCCGACUUGCCGGCUGGCGCCUCCUUGCCCAGACUCUUGGCGGCAGAAAUAUUGCCAAAUGUAACUGACCAAAAAAUGCAUUCUUCUUAAAGGAAAAUGUUUUAGAAAAAGAAUGGAAUUCUGCAGAUGCUGGAAAUUCAAGCAACACACAUCAAAGUUGCUGGUGAACGCAGCAGGCCAGGCAGCAUUUCUAGGAAGAGGUGCAGUCGACGUUUCAGGCCGAGACCCUUCGUCAGGACUAACUGAAGGAAGACUGGCGGUGAAGUUAUCAAGAUGGCCCAAGAAUCAUCAGCAGACCAAUCAAAAAAAAACAGAGACACUAUUAAAGUAGAUCCAGUGAAAUAUCAGCAGUACUUUGAAAGAGAAAGAAGAAUACAAAAAAAAGGGAAACAGGAAAACUUAAGAUCAUCUCACAUUUACCAAAGCACAAACAGAGAUGGAAGAGACGACAGUGGAGAGUUAAUCAAAGAAACAAAAGGGUUGCUGAUAAGAAAGACAGGCAGUACAAGGUUUAACAGCAGAGAAUACCCGGCCAGAAUCUCCAGUACGCCUGCAACUAGAACACCAUGACCUCAUCUUCCUGAUGCUUCACCUAUGCACUAAAAGAGACUGUAAAAAAGUGCAUUAAAUUUCAAGUGUUGCUUUUUUCAGAAUUGUUGAGAUUUGUGUGAUGUUCCAUUUGUCUUACUGAUUAAAAAAAUGUGUGUAGAGAGUUUAUUAAAUGUUUCGUUGGUGUUAAAAAAGUGAUCUCUCUUAUGGACAAUUGAAAAAUAAUGAUUUCUAUGGUCUGUUUGAAAUUUGAGUUGCUGCUUAUUCCAGACCUGGGGAGGGUUAGGCAGAUGUUUUUGUAAGUAUUACUGUUUUUUUUUAAAACAAGACUAGAGAAUGUCUAGCUGGGCUGCCUACGUGCAUGUUUCACGUGGAUUUUUUAACAAUGUUAUCUAGCUGCCUAUCUUAAAAACUGUGAUCGCUGAUGGAAUUUUGAUAAAUAAGGACUGUAAGGAUGUGUUUUUAAUUGGAAGUGUUGCUUCUUCUAGUUGGACAGCUGUUCUUUCUGUCAGAGUUAAUGUUAAACAAAAACCAUUGUUUGCCAAUGUUAAAAGUAUUUUGUUAUUACCAUCGCAGUGCAUAUUUUAAACAGUUUUGUUUAGUACUAUUGGUCUGAACUCAUUUGCUGGAGUCAAGUGCUUUGAUGUCAAAAUCAGCAUGCUGUCAGUGUUAAAUUCCAAUAGUCUAAUUAAUAAACAAGUGUUUCAUUGUUUAGCCAAGGAAAAUAUUGAUAAGCUUAAGAAAAUUUGUCUUAAAAUAUAAUCUGAAUGUAAAAAUGAGUCAAUUGAAAUUUAUUAAAGGGCAUUUUUUUAUUUGCAGGAUUGACUUUGAAAUCUUGUUUUAGUCAUUUCAUUUUAAAUUAAGUUCAGUGUUUUGAUGGCGUGAUGGUAAUGACUUUCAUCUGUGAAAAU